rnacentral:ncRNA from 1 species
UUAUGCAGCGUGCUGUUCAGCGGCUUGAUAAGCAGCGUGUUGUUAUUGAGCAGCACGUCGCCUUUGGCGAUGGUCAUUUCGCCGUUGAGCGGAAUAUCGAGAUGUAAGCGAGCAUUCACAUCGCCGCCAACCUGUAGCUCAUCAAGCGCCGCGGCCAGAGAAUCGUCCAGCGGCGUAUCCUUGAAAUAUGGCCCAACCGCGCUGCCCGGCCCGUUAAUAUCGGCAUCGAUCAGCAGUUUCUCUUUUGCAUAAUCGGGAAUAUUAGCCGUCAGCUUACUGGCCGUCACGCCGCCCAGUUUUACCGCAUCGCUGUUCAUCCACAGUCCGUUGUUGAUGAAGUCGAGCGUGAUGUCGAGAUUCUCCAGCGCAGGCCAGUCCGGCUGGAAGGCAAAUUUGGC